rnacentral:misc_RNA from 1 species
AUGGAGUCGCUGUUUGGGCCUGAUUCAGAGGAGCUGUGGCUGCCUCCAGAGGCAGCCGAGGGAAAUGUCGAGUACAAGCUGAAGCUAGUAAACCCAUCACAGAGCCGCCUGGAGCAUCUUGUCACCCAGAUGAAGUGGAGGCUACGCGAGGGCCAGGGCGAGGCCAUCUAUGAAAUCGGCGUAGAGGACGGAGGCCUGCUGGUGGGAUUGAGCGCGACUGACAUGGCGGCCUCCUUGGCCACUUUGGAGUGCAUGGCCACUAAAUUGGGUGCUUCACUGACUGUGCUGCGUGAGCGCUCCAUAGGCAAUGCCCGCAAGGCAGCUGAGGUGCUGGUGCGCAAGGUGCCCGAAGACCAGCAGAGCAUUGAGAUCCGGGUGGCCGUGCUGGGCAGUGUAGACGUUGGCAAGAGCACUGUCUUGGGUGUACUCACACAGGGCGAGCUGGACAAUGGCCGUGGUAGUGCAAGGCUCAAUCUUUUUCGGCACCUGCAUGAGAUUCAGACAGGGCACACGUCAUCAAUUAGUCGCGAGAUCCUGGGAUUCACAAGCCAGGGGCAGCCUGUCACAUAUGGCCGCUGUCGCAGCCCAGAGGAGCUAUGUGAGCGCUCUGCCAAGCUCAUCACUUUCAUCGACUUGGCUGGACACCACAAGUACUUGCGCACCACUGUCUUUGGACUCACAGGUCACAGUCCACACUUUGUCAUGAUGGUUGUGAAUGCUGCAAGUGGGCUGACUGGCACGGGCCGCGACCACCUUUUGCUUGCUCUGGCUCUUCAGGUGCCUCUGGCCAUCGUGGUGAAUAAGGUGGACACGGUGGGAUCGGCAACUUUGGCCAAGACCUUGGCACAGCUGCAUAGCCUGCUCAAGGGCCCGGGCUGCAAGAAGCUUCCCCUGGAGGUGCUCUGUGAGGAUGAUGCCCUGACAGCAGCAGCGCAGGUUCGUGAGGGCAGUGUGGUCCCUGUGUUUCUGGUGUCGUGCGUGCACGGCGAUGGCCUAGGCCUGCUCUACACGUUCCUGCAUGUGCUGCCACCUGGUCAUGGGCCCAAGGAGCGUGACGGGCUCAUGCGUCUGGCUCCCGAGUUCCAGAUUGACGAGACCUUCCAGGUGCCUGAUGUUGGUCCCGUUGUGGGUGGCCUGCUGACGCGAGGUGUGCUGCGUGAAAAUGAUCGGCUGCUGGCUGGGCCCAGCCAUGAUGGCAGCUUCCAUCCAGUGCGGGUGGUGUCAGUGCAGCGACACCGGGUACCUUGCCGCCUGGUGCGUGCUGGGGAAAGUGCCACCCUGGCACUAGCACCCAGUGCAGGAGCCCUGCUGCGUCGAGGCACAGUGCUCUGCAGCCCAGCAGAUAUACGCCCCACAGCCACGCGCCUAUUCCGGGCGCGCGUGCGUGUGCUUAGCCACCCGGGACGCUUGGCAGUGGGCUUCCAGGCGCUGGUGCAGGCUGGCAAUGUACAGCAAGCUGCUGUAGUGGUGGGUGUGCGUGGGGGAAACAGUGCAAGCCUCGGGGUCACUGACCGGGGGGUGCUCCUGUUCAAGUUUGUGCGGCAGCCUGAGUGCCUGCGGCCAGGCAGUCGCCUGCUCUUCCACCAGGGGCAGGCACGAGGCAUUGGAUCUGUCCUUCAGGUGUACCCACUGCACGUCCCACCUGCCCUGCACUGAGCUCAACAGAAGGUCUCCCCAGGCAUGCCUAUUCUACUGCCAUCUUAGUGCUGUUCUGGAGAAAGGUUUCUUUAGGGGUGCUGAUAGUAGCAGCAGGGCGGAGCAGUGGUGGUUGGACCACGAGCGUGCAGUGGUGGCUGUCAUUGAAGUUGCUGUCGACGCAAUGCCAACACUGUGCAACUGCAGACCUCUGUGCUUGUCGGCCUAGCAGCAAAUGAAUCUCAUAGUAAAGGAUACAAGCAGAAGAUCAUUGCAAAGACCUCAGUGGCUAACAUACCCACAAAGGCACAAUACUGCUGAGCAGAACGGUAACAUCUGUCUGGGCUUUUCUGCCACAAUUCGGAACAGUGCCUCCUUGCCCUAGAAAAAGCACAUAAGCCACCAAGAUGCGUCUGCCCAUUUAGUAUUUAAGGUGUGCUCUUUUACUUUCUUGAUGCAGAAUAUGUCGCCCGACAUCGUGGUGAUGUGUAGAUACUUGUUAGCUAUCGUGUUCAUUUGAAUGUUGAUAACACAUUAUUGUGGCCUGUGACACUACAAGUGCAGUAAUGCCACCGAAUUGCAUUUUGGCUUGAGCACAUUGCAUGGUGCUGAUGCAUGGGAAUAUGGAUUCAAGCACAAGAUAUUCAAUGCUGUGGUCAAGACACCAGCUGCACAAGGCUAUCAUGUGGAGAAGGCUCGCUGGUGUGCUCACCAAUGGUGUCCACCUGACAUUGCUGACCUGUGUGCGUGGCAGUUCUAUGGAAACACCACCACGAAGUGGCCCUCAUUAGUUGCUGAACAACAUGGUCCAGCAUCACCAUCACUUUUCACACGUCCUACUGAAGUGCUUUUUACAUACUCAUAAGCCAUUGUGAUUCUUCACAAAUGCCCACAAUGUGGGAGGAACUCCUGUUUCAAUUUUAACAUUUUUAGUGUUUUAGAGAGACUGUCUUUGCAGAACACAUUUGCGCAAGGGCCUUGCUCAGAGGCUUGUGAUCUUGUUUUUGAAGCUAAUUUGAUCAGUGUCUUAUGUGCAAGAAAUGGCACCGUGCUAGUCAUUGCAAGUGCAAAGACCCGGUCUCAUGUUGCUAAUGACUUCACAGUGGAGACAUAUGCAUGAAAAGUUGGAAAGUGAAUAAAUACUGUUCUAUUGUUAUGCA